GGAAAAGAAAAAAUUUCCUCCAUUGGCUUCAGAACAGCCUCUGUGGGCUGAGCAGGAGCUGAGGAAUGGGACCCUAGGGGCUUUCCUGCCUCUGGAAUUAGUGUUGGCUUUGGUUAUUCCCCAGCCAAAAGCUUUGGGACUCCUACAAGGAGUUGCUUGAAGUCCAUGGCCAAGAUCCAGUUGGGAUGUGAGGAAUACAGGUCAUUAGCAAGAGACUUGAAUGUCCUGAAGACUGGCUUCCUGGAGGGGAGUCUUACCCCAGCACGAGGGCACAGAUAGAGAGCAACUCAGCCUCUUUACAGCCAGUGGCAGAGUUUGAGGGGGGAGCAUGCAGAGUUGUGGCAUCAGGAGGGGGGACCAGCUCUGGCCUGAGGGUCCAUGGGUCCAGCCCAGGCUCUGUGGCUGACCUGGUCAAUCACUCCCUCCUCCUGGGCCACUUUUCCCUCAUUUUCAGAAUGAGGCAGAACUGGACGUGCGUCGGGACUUUCCUGCUCAGACAGAGAGCUUUGGAGGGGGAGCGCUGCAGGUGCUGGAGCCACUCUGCCUGGGUUCUGAGCCAGCCCUGCUGCUCACGGUCUUUGUUUCCUUUGAUGAUUUAUUUUAUUCUCUCCUCUGUGAAAUGGGGAUGCUAGUGGUUCUCACUGCAUGGGGUUUUGAGACAAAUAAAAAACAGUGUACUUGCAAUAGUGCCUGGAUGCAGUACAUGCCCUACAAGCUUCACCCGCCAUGGUGGUUAUGUUGUGACAGCACACCGCGAAGGCUUCAGCAUUCCACAGCAGUUAGAGAGAAACUCAGCCUCUUUAUAGCAGACAAUGUUUUCUCUGUGCUGGAGGGUGGGAGGGCAGACCUUAGGAUCCUAGGCCUGCUAGCUUCAGCAGUGCCUGGGAGUUCCUAUGGUAACAGGAAGAUGGCUUCAUGUCCAACUCUGCUAAGGACCCCACAGGAGAUGCCUCUGGCAGAGGAACUUCUUUAGGGCCAAAGUUUUAGAUAUCAGAGUCUGGUAGCAGGGACUGGGGGUAAUGUAAAAGAAAGGAGGGAUCCGGGCGUGGUGGUGCACAUCUGUAAUCCCAGUGGCUCAGGAGGAUGAGACAGGAGGAUCGCGAGUUCAAAGCCAGCCUCAGCCAAAGUGAGGUGCUCAGCAACUCAGUGAGACCCUGUCUCUAAAUAAAGUACAAAAUAUGGCUGGGGAUGUGGCUCAGUGGUCAAGGGCCCCUGAGUUCAAUCCCCGGUACCAAGAAAAAAGAAAAAGGAAAGAAGAAAAAAAAAUGAGGGAAAGAGUCUGUGAGCUAUAUGUACACAGAGUCAUGUUAGGGCCAGGCAGACAUGAAGGCCUGGGUGCUACAGUUUGAAUAUGGUUGGUGUGUGGCCUCUAAGGGUUCAUGUGUUAGAAGCUAGGUCUUCCCGGUGGUGACAUUGGAGCCUAAUGCAAGGUAAUUAGGUCAUUUAGGGCAUCACCCUCAGAAAAGAUUAAGGUAGUUCUUGUAGGACCUCAGCUAGUUCUCGAGAUGUGGUUGCUAUAAAAAGAGCAAGCCUGGCCUUUUCCCAGCUUCUGAAUUCCUAUUUCUUCAUGCCAUCUUUUCAUCUUGCAUAUAUUCUCAUUAUGAAGCCAUCUACUAAGAUGCAACGUGGUCAGGGUGGCUUUGCCAAAGCCAGUGCCAUGCUAUUUGAAACUUCAACUUUCAAAACUUUGAGCUAAAUAACCCUCUUCCCUUUGAAAAUUACCUAGUCCUCAGGUGUUUUGUCAUAGCAAUGGAAAAUGAAGUAAUAUAUGGCUAUGUGGCUUCCUUGCUGUAGGACCAUUGG
rnacentral:lncRNA from 1 species